rnacentral:lncRNA from 1 species
GGCAGUAGUGUAGUGUCCUUUAGAUGUGUUUUGGUGAUGAUGCAAGUAAAAAGUUCUAACUGAGUGUUAAUAUAUUGGAUGAAGCACAUCACUUUUGAAAUGAAACAUAUAUGUCAACAUGAACACUAGAAACAAUAAGAUCUCCAGCAGAACUACAAAUACAUAUAUAUAUAUAGCCUGAUUGUUUUUUUUUGUUGUUUU